GUGGGGAAUCUUGCGCAAUGGGCGAAAGCCUGACGCAGCCAUGCCGCGUGAAUGAUGAAGGUCUUAGGAUUGUAAAAUUCUUUCACCGGGGACGAUAAUGACGGUACCCGGAGAAGAAGCCCCGGCUAACUUCGUGCCAGCAGCCGCGGUAAUACGAAGGGGGCUAGCGUUGCUCGGAAUUACUGGGCGUAAAGGGCGCGUAGGCGGACAGUUUAGUCAGAGGUGAAAGCCCAGGGCUCAACCUUGGAAUUGCCUUUGAUACUGGCUGUCUUGAGUACGGGAGAGGUGAGUGGAACUCCGAGUGUAGAGGUGAAAUUCGUAGAUAUUCGGAAGAACACCAGUGGCGAAGGUGACUCACUGGCCCGUUACUGACGCUGAGGCGCGAAAGCGUGGGGAGCAAACAGGAUUAGAUACCCGAGUAGUCC
rnacentral:rRNA from 1 species